UACGGGGGGGGCAAGCGUUGUUCGGAAUUACUGGGCGUAAAGGGCUCGUAGGCGGCCAACUAAGUCGGAUGUGAAAUCCCUCAGCUUAACUGGGGAACUGCGUCUGAUACUGGAUGGCUUGAGUGCAGGAGAGGAACGCGGAAUUCCAGGUGUAGCGGUGAAAUGCGUAGAUAUCUGGAGGAACACCGGUGGCGAAGGCGGCGUUCUGGACUGCAACUGACACUGAGAGACGAAAGCCAGGGGAGCAAACGGG
rnacentral:rRNA from 1 species